rnacentral:rRNA from 1 species
UACAGAGGGGGCAAGCGUUGUUCGGAAUUACUGGGCGUAAAGGGCGCGUAGGCGGCCUGUUAAGUCAGACGUGAAAUCUCCAGGCUCAACCUGGAAACUGCCAUUGAUACUAUUUAUCUUGAAUAUCGUUGAGGUAGGCGGAAUAUGUCAUGUAGCGGUGAAAUGCUUAGAGAUGACAUAGAACACCAAUUGCGAAGGCAGCUUACUAAACGAAGAUUGACGCUGAGGCACGAAAGCGUGGGGAUCAAACAGG